rnacentral:rRNA from 1 species
ACGUAGGAGGCAAGCGUUAUCCGGAGUUACUGGGCGUAAAGGGCGUGCAGGCGGUUGGCUAAGUUCGUUGUGAAAGCGCCCAGGCUUAACCGGGCGAGGACAAUGAAGACUGGUCAGCUAGAGGACGGUAGAGGGGUGUGGAAUUCCGGGUGUAGUGGUGAAAUGCGUAGAUAUCAGAAGGAACGUCGGCGGCGAAAGCGACUCUCUAGACCGUAACUGACGCUGAGUGUGCGAAAGCUAGGGGAGCAAACGG